UGGGGAAUAUUGGACAAUGGGCGAAAGCCUGAUCCAGCCAUGCCGCGUGUGUGAAGAAGGUCUUCGGAUUGUAAAGCACUAUAAGUUGGGAGGAAGGGCAGUUACCUAAUACGUGAUUGUUUUGACGUUACCGACAGAAUAAGCACCGGCUAACUCUGUGCCAGCAGCCGCGGUAAUACAGAGGGUGCAAGCGUUAAUCGGAAUUACUGGGCGUAAAGCGCGCGUAGGUGGUUCGUUAAGUUGGAUGUGAAAUCCCCGGGCUCAACCUGGGAACUGCAUUCAAAACUGUCGAGCUAGAGUAUGGUAGAGGGUGGUGGAAUUUCCUGUGUAGCGGUGAAAUGCGUAGAUAUAGGAAGGAACACCAGUGGCGAAGGCGACCACCUGGACUGAUACUGACACUGAGGUGCGAAAGCGUGGGGAGCAAACA
rnacentral:rRNA from 1 species